UGAGGGGAUGUAAACAAUAAAAAACUUGUUAAAUUCUUUUGCUUGGUCUUGCAACAAUAAAACGAAUUAAAUUGUGGGACUCGCGAAAUUCGUGAUUUAAUGCAACCUUGACACGACUUAUUUUUACAUUUUACAUUAGCAUUGUAUAUAUAAAAAUUUGUUCGAUUUUCCCGCUCUAUGUAGACUUUGUACAUGGUCUAAGUAAGUAUAAACUAGGUUUUAUAUGGUAGCCAUUGUCGGAUAAGAAACGUUUGCAUUUUAAUCUGACCUUGAAUAUUUUCGAAACAAGGGUUUUUGUCUAAUUUUACCUCAUUUACUAAGAAAUAAAACUGGAUUUUUUUAUGUAGGGAUUUGAAAAAAGUUGCCGGUGCAUGUGAUACUCCUCUGCAAAGAGUCGGUAAUUUUUAAUCGCAGACUAAACAUUUGCAAGUGGUCAACAUUUAUUAGUUAUAAUUUAUCAGCAGUAAUAAAAAGAAUUUCCAGGAGAAGUCGAGGUCAAAUGUAACCAAAUCCCUGACUCAAUUUCAUUACCUCAUUAGUCACGCAUUACCGCAACACCUCCUGAAUUAGGUGUUCGUAAAUAAAUAAAAGUGACCACAUCGGACAAUAACUUAUCGAUUCUCCGGUUCACUCAACUUAUCAAAUCGAUAACCUAAUAAUAGUGUCUUUAUAAAAAAGAAGUUUAUUCACAUUGAAUAUACGCGCUAUCAGUGUGACGUAGACAUUUGAGGUAGGUCAGCACCUUAAAGCUAAACAAUCGCCAUUUUCAAUGCUUUUCUUAUGGGCAUUUAAAAGUUUUUCGUAUUUCUUUAAUGCUAGAAGUGUAGGAACAUUACUUUUACAGAGAAAUGAUAGCUAUGAAAAAUGCAAUGUCGUUUCUUAAAGAUUUUAGCAACUGAGCUAAUAUUUCUGUAAGUUGAACACAUAAAUCCUUUUCUAACCUAACUUUUUUCAAACUUCAAAAUUCAGUUUUUCUUAAUUUGGACAUCAUAUUGAUGUAAAUUAUUAUGUGGCCUUUUAAAACUGAGGGAAAAAUGGUUUGCCACACUAAUGACAUUGGAUUUCUUCUGAAUGACGAAUUCAUGGGGUGCAACCGGCGCAACCCCAAUAAACGGGUUGUUUUCUGUCCCCCUCCCCCAUCACGAGGGAUGAAUAGCAGGUAUACGAGGGUAGAGGGUUCAGGCACAUACAUGGUUGAAAGUAGUACGGGUUGUGAGUUCUGUGCUUCUUUCGUGAGUGUCUUUUGUUAUCGUGUUUUUUCCGAUCGUUCUCCAUAUCUUCGUGUUCUUGAAUUUUUAAAAUUCUGUUUUUCCAAGACAUUAUCUCAUUUUUGUGGUACAUCAUUAGGUUUUUACAUCACAACUAUGGGAAUGUGUUGGGCUCCAGAUUGCAAACACUAUAGUACUCGCGAUAAAUGCCAUUUUUUUAGUUUUCCUAAGUCGGGAAAAGAACGAGCACUAUGGAAAAAAUUGUUGAGAAGAGAUGUAGAACCCGGACCAGGAGCCUACGUUUGCAGCUGCCAUUUUCGGGAUGGAAGAAAGGAAAAUGGUCCUGAAUUAUUUUUGCACAAUAUCGCAAAAAGAGCCUAUUUUCAAGUGGAAUCUCCAGAAAAAAAAAAGAUGAAAAAACAAGGACUCCCUUCUUGUUCUAGUUCCGCUGAAUCAUUAAGUGUUGAUAUACCGGAAGAAACAGUACCAUCGACAAUGAAUUUAGAGGAAGUGCCAUCGACGUCUACAGCCGUAGUUGCAGCACCAGCAGAUAUAAUUCAAGAUGCUCCGUUAGAAUCUAUGGGUGUGCAAGCACCCUUGGUGUCACAUGCGGCUCUUGAAGCAGAAAUGUAUUUUCUCAAAAAGGAAAAUGCUGAACUUAAAGCAAAAAUACAAUAUCUGACAGUACGAUUUUGCUAUGAAAAUGUUCAAGGAAAUGACAAACUCAUUGUUUUAUAUACCGGUCUUCCCAAUAGCCAGAUUUUCGAAGCAUUGUUUCACUUAAUCGAAAAGUUGGACAUAAAAUAUUACCACAAAUGGACAGUCCAAAAGUUAACUAGAAUUGACCAACUCUUUUUAACCCUAGUAAAAUUACGACUCAAUUUCCCUCAACUUGAUUUGGCGCAACGCUUUGGGGUUGCCCAAAGCACAGUUUCUAAUAUUAUUUUAACAUUUGUCCAUGUAAUAUAUGAAAUUUUAUAUAAACAGUUUAUGACGACAAUGCCUUCGCGCGAAAAAAAUAAAUCUUGCUUGCCAACAUGUUUUAGCAAUUUUACUAAUUGUAGAGCAGUUCUAGAUUGUACCGAAAUUUUCACUGUGGUAUCACGUAAGUCUAUGUCAACACAGAAAUUAACAUAUAGUACUUACAAACAUCAUAAUACUUUCAAAGGGCUAAUUGGAGUUGCACCCAAUGGUGUCAUCACAUUUGUAAGUGAUUUAUACGUGGGAUCAACUUCUGAUCAAAAAGUUGUUUUAAAUUGUGGAAUAAUCGACAUGUUAAAAACUGGAGAUAUGAUUUUAGCCGAUAAGGGAUUUUUGAUCCAAAAUAUUCUGCCACCAGGGGUCACUUUGAAUAUUCCACCUUUUUUAUCAAAUGUCCAAUUUACACCAGAGCAAGUUAAGUGUACCGAAAAUAUUGCACGUGCAAGAAUACACGUCGAAAGGGCAAUACGCCGAUUAAAAUGUUAUCAUAUUUUAAAUUUUUUGCCAGAGUCUUUGUGCCACUAUGGAGAUAUUGUUUUUAAAGCGACUGCCGCUUUAACAAACCUCCAAUUUCCAUUAAUUAAAGAGGUAGCAGAAUUGUUUCAGGAUUGUGAUGAUUAAAAUAAUGUAAAAUAAAAACCAUCUAUUUAUAUACAGUUUAUUAUUGUGAAAUAAAGGAAAUAUAUUGGUCAAGAUAAAA